rnacentral:tRNA from 1 species
GGUUGUAUAGUGUAGUGGUGAUCACAUCGGAUUCUGAUCUUCCGGGAACCCCGGUUCGAUCCCGGGUACGACCU